UCUCUCUCUCUCUCUCUCUCUCUCUCUCUCUCUCUCUCUCUCCCUCUCCUCCUUUUCUCUUUUCGGUGUAACAUUAUUCUUAUUCACUAAAUCUAUACUAUUUCUUACGCUACUUAAGAAACCUUUUCAUUCUUUCUCUUCAGCCCAUCGUUUAUCAAAGCUUCACAUACUCGCUUGCGUCUUUCAUCUCCACAAUCAAACGCUAACCUUCAAUAUUAACAUCCUUUCACGUUACAACAUAUCUGCAGAAAUGCUUUGUAUAUACGUUUCCCGAAUCAGAAUACUAGGCUGAUACACUUCUAACAAUAUUAUAAUUUUAUAUAUUAAAGUAAAGUACUCUCUAAUAUUAAUCCUGCAUAUACUAUUAAUUAUGUUUGACAUUUUGCUUAAAAAUAACAUUUCACACGUUUCUUUCUUAUAAGCUAUUAAACCUUUUAUUUAUCUAAAUUAUUUACGCCAUACACACUUUCCAAUAGCUGCAACUAUUUUUAAACAAUUCUGCACUCCUACCUCCUAUGGAAUUUUGGCCCUUCUUCUAUGGCCAUCUAAUCUUUCCAUAUCCCGUCACGCUUAACAAGUUGAGACAUUAAUAUUUUAUACUGCAUAUGUAAGGAUACACUAACAAAUGGCUAAGUUACUUGCACUUCAUUACUUCCAAGAUAUUGUCGUUUUGUCAUUCCCAAAUUGAUAUACCCACUUUGAUAGUUAGUCUCAUUUUUGAUAAAAUAUCACUUACAGGGUUUGUUGAUAACCACAAAAUUUUAUCUGUAAUGUUUACACGUUCGUAGCUACAAUAAUCAAUUUCAUUGUAUAAAGCUUCCAUACACGUAGACAUCUGAAUUUUCUCCAUUUCUGAUCUUCUUCUUUUGCAAGCUCAAUACUUCUUUUAGGUUAUUGAUUAUAGACUUUGCCCAAUCUUUUAUGGUGAUCAUCACAGAUACCAUCAUCUCCAUCGCUUAACUGACAAAACGGUAUCACUCACUUCAAUCUCCUUAUUAAUGCGAACUCCUUCAUUUGUCAUAGCCAUGCAGUAUCUUAUCGCUCUUCUUCAAUUUAGAAAUUAGAUCUAAACAGGAAGCUUCUACCGCUAUCUUGUCUUUUAAGUCAAAAGCUGGUAUUCUUGAUUUCAUCUACCAAAUACUAUGCUAUCUACUGACAAUAUUUCAAAACGUUGUACCUAUUGUUACUAAUGCUAUAUUCACAUUACAAUUUGUUCUUAUUCGAAUAGGCUGGACGUAAAAUAGGUUUUCAGCCUUUUUGAAAUCAUAGACACUAAGUAGUACUCAACAGACCUAUCGUAUCCACUGCCUUGGUGGAAUAUAACUUUAACGUCUCCAAAACAGUUUGAAUCCGCCCAUAUAGUUGAUAUUUUGUAGCCGCCUCAGUACUCGUAUGUUGUUCUCCUUGGUUGUUCGACUUUAGUGGAACAGUGUUCCUAAUUAUUUAUGUCUGUCUCAAAGUUCUGCCGAUAGCAAAAUCUUGCCUACUUGCAAAAUGGUCAGUAACUUACCCUACUCAUAUUAUUUGGGACAGAUCUAUAGCAUUCCGUACCGGAUUCUUGACAUCACUUAUCCAUUCCCACCUAGAGUUCUAUUGAAUGAAGCGUCAUAUUCCAAUGGGCACUUGAAAUUACUAAAACCACUAGAGUCUCCCAUUAUCGAAGUCAUUGCUUCUUCUUCCAUCAAGUCCAUUUCUUCCCUAACUUUUUUUAUCGAAGACAAUAUCACAGUCGAAUUCCAGUCAUUUAACAUUCUAUUAGCCAGUCUAGCAUCCUGCAAAACCAAUUAGGCAGCCUGUAAUAGUCUUUUUACCAAAUCCUACAAAAUCGGAGCGAUGACGAAAAUUUAAAGAAUUCUCUUACUGACUCAUCGAGCAAUGCUGCUGCUGUUGAUUACGUUUAAUGUGAUACGAAUUAAUAGCUGAUAAGGAAAAAUUUAACAAUGAGAAAUGGAUAUCUCGCAGUUUGGGAUACAGAUAUGUAGGCAGUGUAGAAAGGAAAUAAAAUCCCAGCUUUAAUUUAUUAAUUAUAUUUAAUUUAUUAUUAUAUAUUAAUUGCAUACAUUGUGGAAAAUUUUUCAUCCGAGUUGCCACAAUUUUCAUAAAGUUUAUAAUUCAGCAAAUGAAUCGCUGAGUUGAACUGGUAAAUAUGAAAUAUUUAUAUAAAUAUGAAAUAGAGAGUGUGAUGCGAGGAGUAACGUAUGCAAGGGAAAUGUAAGGCAGCAGCCCAAUAAUGUAAAUAGCCGAAUAGCGAUCGUACGUUUCACGCUAAGACAAAGAUCGGACAAAAGAAAAGAAGUCCUAAAAAGGUAGUCAGCGUCUACCAUUCGAAUAACGAACGAUUACAUCCUAGUGUACCAAUAUUUCUUUACUUUUCAUUUAUUAGAAUAUAUUGCAUUUCCGCAGAAGAGAGUUUUCUUUUCAUCAUCGGAAUUCUUAUUUUUUUUAGUCAGAUAUCAUUUCAGAAGACUGACUUGACAGAUGGAAUUCCAAAUAUAUUAUGUAAAAAAUAUUAGUAAUAUAGUAUUAUCUGUAAAUACUGAUAAGUCGAAGAGCACGACGUGAAGAAUAAUGUAUAUUACUGCAAGUACAGGGAUUAAUAUAGAGAACUUUGGAAUGAUUAAGAUAAAGAAUUAUUACCUGGAAUGUGUUACGUCCCACUCGGUUCGGGCCUCAAAAUUUUUUUUGUUCUGAACUUACCUUGAGGAGCUCCAAUCUUUGUGAGAUUUGUGUCCUUUUAGGCCGUUACUUGCUACACGCAGUUCGUGGCACGGGAUAGACACCUAUUCGCGGUCUCCUGGCUCGGCAACGUUGACAGGAACCUCCGGAUCGUUCUUUGCCCUAAGAUCGAAUGGCGCUAAAUCUCUCGGGAUGUAGAUGGUGCUCUCUAUGGUGAUUGGCACGAGACGGUAAGGUAAUGCUUUGCGGUUGCUCGCGUUCCUGGAUGACGCUACUCUUAAAUCUCCGUGAAAAUGAGAAAGAUCGAAAAAUGUCCCCGGUGAAGAAUACUGUCAAAUAACCGUGGAGUCGAGCGAUGCAGCCGUUUUUAUUCUUCGUUGAUCUGCGGUAGGCGAUUCAAAAUAGUGCCGCCGUGAGGAUGUAACCGUCGCGCGUAGUGGGGUUAAAUCUGCCGCUGUCGUGGUCCCGUGGUGGGGACGGAAAUUUGGAGAUUUCCAAUGCGGAGAGCAUGUACGUCUAGUGAUAGUUUCUUUUCCUUACUUUCUUAGUUUUCUGCGUCCCUUUCCCUUUCCUGGAAUUUGAUAUCGCUUUUGUGGGGACGAAAUUGGGGAUAUCUCCACCCGGAGAAUAUGUACGUUGAGCGGUGAUCUCGCUUCCUCGACUUUCUUGGGCUCCUGUAUCCCUUUUCCUUUUCCCGGCGUUCGGCAUCGCUUUUUAUGACCUUUUCAGGUAUCUUUCGUCUCUGUGCCGCUUAUAUGUUUAUGUCUUAUUUGUUAUUAUGUUUUUUAUAAUAGCGUUAAUUUGUGUUACAAGAUAUUCCCUUUAUGUCGGGUUCGAAUGUGUCAUAUAAUAAUGUUAGUUAUAUAUAUAUAUGUACGUUUUGACUAAAAAAAUGUAAAAAUAUUAAAAAAAUUUGUAUAGUGCAUAAGCGUAAGGUGUCCCCGUUUCUCCUAUACAUAGUAAUAUAAAAUAAGGUUCUUUAUUUACAGGUUUUAAUUGUUACGUAUGAGAAGGGAGCGGGAUGUAACACUUCCUCCCUUAUUAGAAAAUGUGCGUAAUUACACGUGCAUUUUAGCUUCUUUCCUUACUUAGGUAAGUAUUUAAUUUGUAAAAUGUUUUAUUUCUUUCAUCAGCAUCGUACUCUCUUUUUUCUUCGUCGGUGUUUGCAGCCUCUGGUACCGUACUUGUCGGAGUUUUUUCUUUCUUUUCUCGUUUUCCUAGGUGUAGAAGAAGAUGAGUCACCGAGCUCCAUAGUGCUCCUAAAAGAUGUAAACUCCAUCCGUAUAUGUCAUGCAGGGCAUAAUCGUGGAUGAGUGUAUCGAUGAUGAAUUUCACCAAUCGUAUGGCCAUAGAGAUAGCUGAAACUCUGGCGCUUGCUGACUCAAACGUAAUGAACACGUUCUAUAGUCUUUGCGCCGUAUUUGAUGCGAUUUUGUUUAAAGAUUCUUCGUCCAUUAGGUUAUAUAGUGAGAUUUUUCCAAAGGGUAUAUUCCUUCCGUUGAUUCCUCUGGCGAGCGUAUCGAUAAUAGCAGGUUUUUCAGCCGGUUCCAUUAUGUGAGAUCUUAAUUUAUUUAGGUCUUCGUUGGAAUAGAUUCCACUCAUUCCUAAGUGUUCUGGAUCGAUAUACCUCCAUUUCGACUUCGUUAACGGUUGAAUCACUGGCAGGGGUAUUGAUUCUACUAAUUUUGGCGUCACCUUGUACCAUGUUCCAUGCAAAUUGUACAUAUUGGGCAGCAACUCGUUACAGUCUUUUGGAGAUGCUUCUUUCAGGAUGAUGCGCGUUUUUGGCAAGAGAAAAUAAGAUUCAGUUUGAUAUGUUAUUGAUAGUUCUUUAUAACAGUCCUCGGUUUAUCUUAUCCUGACUUCUGCCGGAACACAUUUUAUGAUAUAGAUUACCUCUGUUGCAAUGACAGCCAUAUAACCCGGUUGUUUCAUUAGGGCGUAAGCCAUUUCAUCAGGUGCUAGCGUUGCCAGCGAAAGAGCGUUUUUAAGUACUUGUUGUUCUAACAUGCAUUUUUGUCGAGUGGUGUCGAUGUAUAGAGUGUUUAGUUGCGUCUUAAGGUGUCUUUCUACGUAAAUAAAUUUUAAAUUUAUGCGAAGGUGUCCAAAUUUUCUACGGAGGUUUUCAUUUUACCUUUGAACGUUCUUCCCGGCGAUGUUUAUCCGCACAGGAUGAUAUCGCUCGUUCUUGUUAAUGCGAAGGUGACAUCUUUUGUUGUUACCGUAUACAAUGUGAGUCCUUGCAGCGACUCAGCGGGUGUUAGCUUUGUUGCGGGCCCCUCGUAAAGGACCUCGUACUCGUUAAAGCCACAACUAUCGGUGGGUAUAUUUGACCAGUACGUCUCGCUUCCAUCUGAGUCGAGACAGGUUUCCUCGUCCAAUGCACAGGCGGUUCCUGACUGUAGGUGCACCUGGUUGGUUUUCAUUUUUACAGUGGCGUAGUAGUCCCGUAAUGUGAUCUUGACGGAUGCUUGUACCACUACGUCAUCCCAUGUUUCGUAAAAGUCACAAUAUUGUGAGCUCUUACACGUGCCAUCUGUGUCGUGGUGCCACUCAAAGUGAUGCUCCUUGUAUCGGUGCUAUUCUCUUUUAUUCCGAAGAUAAAUACGUUUGGUCCGAGAAAGAAAGUGCCUGUAGAAUGUAACUGUUGGCACAACUGAUGUGUCAGCGUGAACAAAUACUCUCGGCAUCCGUUGUGAACUAUGGAUGUGUGCGAGUGCAUGCCACAGUGGAAUAUCGUGCGAUCUAUUUCUACACGACAUUGUAGAACCCUUACUGUGUUAUAGUCGGCGGUUUGUAGUAGUUGUACGUAUACAGUGUUGUUAGUUGGUAGUAAGUUCGGGAUCUCGCAGUCCGCUAUAUCCAAGAGAGAGUACAAAGUGAUAUUCAAAGAUUGCGUGGCGCAAUCAUAUCGUACUAGUGCUGGCGUUGAUCUCGCUAAGGUAAGUAUAAGUAUAUAAGUGUUUAUUAGAUACAUUAUUCGUCGAAAUUUUGACUUAUUCUAUCGUGUAGAGUGUCUAAGAAGCAACUGAUGCCGUUGUUAUAUUCGCAGCUUCCUAUAUUCUAUUUUCUUUAACCUAUGGUGGGGGGCCACCUUCAUCAAUCGUCAUCAUGGAAGGAAGAGCAUCGUUGCGCCAUGCUGCGCUGAAAAAGAACCCGUUAUUGGUAUCAUAGCUUUCCAUAAUGUCAAUCAUUAUCUUGACUUAUCGACUUUAUGUCUAUUGGCGUGUACCACACGGUCAUCAAUGUUGGUUUUAAUUGUUACGUAUGAGAAAGGAGCGGGAUGUAAUACAGUCCAGUUUGCGCUGCUGAUAUGCUAGUUCUUAUCGACUAUCGAAUUGGUGGGAAUCCGCCUUAUCAAUCGUCAUCAUGGAAAGGAGAGCGACUGUUGCUCCAUGCUGCGCUAUUGAAACCGCGAGUCGGUGAUGCAGAUUUCCAUAAUGUCGACUUAUCGAGCUUGGAAAUUAAACUAGCUUAUUGAGUUUUCAUCGGUUGGUGUGUACUACACAAUUACCUUUGGAAUAAUAGAAAUUGGAUGAUAUGGAAAGCAGUGAUAGCGAUAGCUCAUAGAGGAACACAAGAAACCACUUUUCAACGCAAUUUCUUUCAAGUCAUGGGACUUUCUAGGUAAAACUAAGGUCGCUGAAUCUCGUCACGGAUGGAACAUGCGAGUGUGGCGAAGAGGACACGAUUUCGGAUCACAUCAUCGAAUGCUCGGUUUUCGAACCUCAGAAAGUUGCUCUGGAAGAAAUAUUCUGCGAAAAGAGCUGGCCAGAAGUAGCGAAACAUCUUGUCUUCACGGCUGAGGCCUUUUCCCUCUUCGCGGUUUUGUAAAGAAACCAUCUGUAUUAAGGGUUAACUCACUCUCGAACAGGAUAGAGUCGGAGAUACUCGCAUGCGUUACCCUAUUUUUUUUUCUUCUCACUACAAUCCAAUACUCUCUCUAAUACCUGCUAUCCUACCAAUCCUAUCCUGUCCUACGGAACGAGUGUCAAGGAUCGUGGCACUGUGAGUGGGCCUUUCCGUGGUUUCCCGUGGGUACAGCCGGCAUCAGCGUGGUGAUUCGUUGUUGCGAGGAUGUUGGUCGCUGCCAGGAUGUGUCUAAACCGCUCACCUUAUCUUGCCGGCAGGAGUUUUGGGUUUUUCCGAAUCCGGUCACUUGGCUGUGGUGGCUGCUGCCUUUGGGUGGUUUCGUAGCGUAUGUCGUAAUGGGCGAGGUAGCAUAGGUGCAGGCACCAUAUGUCUAUUCACCUUUACACUAUACUGUUCCAUCAUGGCUGCGAUACGGGAUGGACACGUUGCCGUGUGCGCCGCGUUUUGUGAAAAUUUUUCCGGUUUCCUUUAUUUUGCCUGUGAAAAAAUUAUCUCAUCCGUUAAUUAGAGAUCGGUGAACAGAGUGAGAUAAUAAUCAAUACUAGGGAUUGAUUAAUUUCUCUGUAAUUAGUGUAGAAUGUGCUCAGUAGUUUUGUAGAGGUUAUGUUCGUUUUUGCAUUUUAUAUUCUAUGGACGAACGGUGGACUCAACUGAUAAUUUCUGUUGCAAGACGGAAGUGGAUUUGCAACUAAUUCACGCCAUACUGUGAUUGGCUGAUGGAUUGGACAACAAUAAUUUGUAUUGGUAGCAAUGCACAUUAUUUAUUUUUCGACAGUUGGCGCACAUGCGUCUCUCAUAACCUCAAAUCAAAAAAGCGCGGGAAACGUACGGAACUUCAGGCAUGGCUCUACAGACCUUGUCGCCCUUUCGUCAUAGGAACGUGACCGCGAAAAUAGAGCCUUGAUGAAACUCCUUCAAAUAAAUAGUGGAGUGCUUGCAUGAUCAAAUAAUUAAUAAUUAAAAAAAAUAUUUUUUUUUUCUCUAAGUCCUUAUUUACUUAAAGUACCUUUACUGAAGUAUUUUAAUAAUUUUCUCUUCUUUUCGAAGUCCUCUAUUUACUUGAACUAUUUUUACUAAAGUGCUUAAAAUUUUUUUUUCCCGUAGUGAAAUAUUACUAUUCAUAAAUACAAACUAUUAUAUCAAAAUCUUUUUUAUGAGUCAUUGUUAUGAAUUACUGAUAUCUUCCAUUUGAAUAUAAUAUAGUUUUUAUAUAAUACGAGUAAUUUAACAUAAAUAACUAAAUUCAAAAAGACUCGUUAAUUUAGUAAGAGAUAUAUAAAAUUAAAUUUUUUCAAAAUUUUUCAAAACUUCUAUG